UACGGGGGGGGCAAGCGUUGUUCGGAAUUACUGGGCGUAAAGGGCUCGUAGGCGGCCAACUAAGUCCGACGUGAAAUCCCAAGGCUUAACCUUGGAACUGCGUCGGAUACUGGAUGGCUUGAAUUCGGGAGAGGGAUGCAGAAUUCCAGGUGUAGCGGUGAAAUACGUAGAUAUCUGGAGGAAUACCGGUGGCGAAGGCGGCAUCCUGGACCGACAUUGACGCUGAUGAGCGAAAGCUAGGGGAGCAAACGGG
rnacentral:rRNA from 1 species